AAAAUUAAAAUUAUAGAAUAAAUCCAUUUGAAAUUCAAAUCUAAAUCCAUUUUUAAUAUCUAAAUUCAAAACAACUUUUGAAAACAUCAAUUUGAUCCAAACUUAAAAUUAACAGGAGGGCCACCGAAAUUUGAAAAUUGCACAACAGCCCUCAGUUAUAAAAUUGCAAAAUGACCCCUAAUAUCAUAUUUGCAGGCGGGCCCCCACAAUUACAUUAAUUGCAGAGGAACCCCCCGCCUCC
rnacentral:lncRNA from 1 species